GGAUUUGGGGCCUGAUCCAAAGCCCAUUGAAGUCAGUGGAAAGUCUCCCAUUAACUUCACUGGGCUUUGGAUCAGGCCCUUGGUGA
rnacentral:pre_miRNA from 1 species